AGAGUUUGAUCCUGGCUCAGAAUGAACGCUGGCGGCAUGCCUAACACAUGCAAGUCGAACGAAGGCUUCGGCCUUAGUGGCGCACGGGUGCGUAACGCGUGGGAAUCUGCCCUUGGUUCGGAAUAACAGUUAGAAAUGACUGCUAAUACCGGAUGAUGACGUAAGUCCAAAGAUUUAUCGCCGAGGGAUGAGCCCGCGUAGGAUUGGCUAGUUGGUGUGGUAAGAGCGCACCAAGGCGACGAUCCUUAGCUGGUCUGAGAGGAUGAUCAGCCACACUGGGACUGAGACACGGCCCAGACUCCUACGGGAGGCAGCAGUGGGGAAUAUUGGACAAUGGGCGAAAGCCUGAUCCCAGCAAUGCCGCGUGAGUGAUGAAGGCCUUAGGGUUGUAAAGCUCUUUUACCCGGGAUGAUAAUGACAGUACCGGGAGAAUAAGCUCCGGCUAACUCCGUGCCAGCCGCCGC
rnacentral:rRNA from 1 species